rnacentral:rRNA from 1 species
AGCCGAGCGGUAGAGAUCUUCGGAUCUUUGAGAGCGGCGUACGGGUGCGGAACACGUGUGCAACCUACCUUUAUCAGGGGGAUAGCCUUUCGAAAGGAAGAUUAAUACCCCAUAAUAUAUUGAUUGGCAUCAGUUAAUAUUGAAAACUCCGGUGGAUAGAGAUGGGCACGCGCAAGAUUAGAUAGUUGGUAGGGUAACGGCCUACCAAGUCAGUGAUCUUUAGGGGGCCUGAGAGGGUGAUCCCCCACACUGGUACUGAGACACGGACCAGACUCCUACGGGAGGCAGCAGUGAGGAAUAUUGGACAAUGGGUGAGAGCCUGAUCCAGCCAUCCCGCGUGAAGGACGACGGCCCUAUGGGUUGUAAACUUCUUUUGUAUAGGGAUAAACCUUUCCACGUGUGGAAAGCUGAAGGUACUAUACGAAUAAGCACCGGCUAACUCCGUGCCAGCAGCCGCGGUAAUACGGAGGGUGCAAGCGUUAUCCGGAUUUAUUGGGUUUAAAGGGUCCGUAGGCGGAUCUGUAAGUCAGUGGUGAAAUCUCAUAGCUUAACUAUGAAACUGCCAUUGAUACUGCAGGUCUUGAGUAAAGUAGAAGUGGCUGGAAUAAGUAGUGUAGCGGUGAAAUGCAUAGAUAUUACUUAGAACACCAAUUGCGAAGGCAGGUCACUAUGUUUUAACUGACGCUGAUGG